rnacentral:tRNA from 1 species
GGGUGUGGCUCAGUGGUAGAGCGCUUGCCUAGCAUGUGUGAGGCACUGGGUUUGAUUCUCAGCCCCA